CAGGCCUAACACAUGCAAGUCGAACGAGACCUUCGGGUCUAGUGGCGCACGGGUGCGUAACGCGUGGGAAUCUGCCCUUGGGUUCGGAAUAACUCGCCGAAAGGCGUGCUAAUACCGGAUGAUGUCGUAAGACCAAAGACUUAUCGCCCAGGGAUGAGCCCGCGUAAGAUUAGGUAGUUGGUGAGGUAAAGGCUCACCAAGCCGACGAUCUUUAGCUGGUCUGAGAGGAUGAUCAGCCACACUGGGACUGAGACACGGCCCAGACUCCUACGGGAGGCAGCAGUGGGGAAUAUUGGACAAUGGGCGAAAGCCUGAUCCAGCAAUGCCGCGUGAGUGAUGAAGGCCUUAGGGUUGUAAAGCUCUUUUACCCGGGAUGAUAAUGACAGUACCGGGAGAAUAAGCUCCGGCUAACUCCGUGCCAGCAGCCGCGGUAAUACGGAGGGAGCUAGCGUUGUUCGGAAUUACUGGGCGUAAAGCGCACGUAGGCGGCUUUGUAAGUCAGAGGUGAAAGCCUGGAGCUCAACUCCAGAACUGCCUUUGAGACUGCAUCGCUUGAAUCCAGGAGAGGUGAGUGGAAUUCCGAGUGUAGAGGUGAAAUUCGUAGAUAUUCGGAAGAACACCAGUGGCGAAGGCGGCUCACUGGACUGGU
rnacentral:rRNA from 1 species